AAGGUUUAGUGAGGCGGCACCGCGCGGCCCGAGGCGGGUCUUGAAGCACUCGUUUUCCCACUCGUUUUCCGGGGUUCCCCCGCGGUGGGACAGUGAGCAGUUCAGGGCGCCGCAGCCGAGGCCUUCCUCCAGGAAAGGUUUGCUGGCUCCUGCCUUAGAAGAUGAGAAAGUUUGUGAUGGAUGGAGAAGAGGAUCUUCCAGAAAAUAACCAGGGCUUUCCAGCCACUGGAUCCAAAGACUAUGCUCUCCCUGAGGGUGGAGACGGAGCCAGGUUUGCCCAUGUGAGCAUCUGCAGGAUCCUGGAGAUGUCUCAAGCCUGGCAGCAGAGAAAGACUGUCCAAGGAGGCAGCAGGAGCCAAGGCCAGUGACACCACAUCUCAAGGAGCCAAAUGACGAUGCGGAUUUUCAGGCUAAAACUGUGAGGCCAGAUUUUGCGGGCGGUGAGCUGGAAGGAGCACUGGACUAGGAGUCCUGAGAGGUUAGAGUAUAAGACUCCAUCCACCAGGAGGACAUACUGGCUCACACAUAAAAAGAAAGUUUUGGAACAGAUGAUCCUUCUGCUGUUUACCCCCGAACCCCCAGGCUAUUUAAGAGUAGAAUCCUUUGCUUGGGUAAUUACGUUGACAUUGACACUAAAAGGAUGCAUAGUUGUCUUGACA
rnacentral:lncRNA from 1 species